AUUGAACGCUAGCGGCAUGCCUUACACAUGCAAGUCGAACGGAUUGGCGAACGGGUGCGUAAUGUAUCGGAACGUGCACCGUCGCGGGGGAUAACUAUGCGUACGCGUAGCUAAUACCGCAUCCUAUUUGAGCGGCCGAUAUCGGAUUAGCUAGCUGGUGGGGUAACGGCUCACCAAGGCGACGAUCCGUAGCUGGUCUGAGAGGAUGACCAGCCACACUGGGACUGAGACACGGCCCAGACUCCUACGGGAGGCAGCAGUGGGGAAUUUUGGGCAAUGGGGGAAACCCUGAUCCAGCCAUCCCGCGUGUGCGAAGAAGGCCUUCGGGUUGUAAAGCACUGUUGGCAGGAAAGCGGUACCUGCAGAAUAAGCACCGGCUAACUACGUGCCAGCAGCCGCGGUAAUUC
rnacentral:rRNA from 1 species